rnacentral:pre_miRNA from 10 species
UUUAUCGCACUUUGAAAAAAAAUUUCAAAGUGCGUUGAUUUUGUCCAAAAUUUAACGCACUUUGAAAUUUUUUUUCAAAGUGCGUAA